rnacentral:rRNA from 1 species
CCUACGGGAGGCAGCAGUGGGGAAUAUUGGACAAUGGGCGAAAGCCUGAUCCAGCCAUGCCGCGUGUGUGAAGAAGGCCUUCGGGUUGUAAAGCACUUUCAGUGGGGAAGAAAGCCUUGGGGCUAAUACCCUCGAGGAAGGACAUCACCCACAGAAGAAGCACCGGCUAACUCCGUGCCAGCAGCCGCGGUAAUACGGAGGGUGCGAGCGUUAAUCGGAAUUACUGGGCGUAAAGCGCGCGUAGGCGGUCUGAUAAGCCGGUUGUGAAAGCCCCGGGCUCAACCUGGGAACGGCAUCCGGAACUGUCAGGCUAGAGUGCAGGAGAGGGAGGUAGAAUUCCCGGUGUAGCGGUGAAAUGCGUAGAGAUCGGGAGGAAUACCAGUGGCGAAGGCGGCCUUCUGGACUGACACUGACGCUGAGGUGCGAAAGCGUGGGUAGCAAACAGGAUUAGAUACCCCUGUAGUC